CUCAGUUUUAAAUUUUCUGCUGGUCCAAGGCUCCCCUUUCUUUCCCUCUGUGCCCUGGUUUCUUGUUAUGUAUUAUGGAACUUCCACCCAUGAAUCUUGUAAGACUCAUAAGAGGAAAAAUUCUUCAUCAAGCCCCACAGUUUGUGCAAUGCAGUGAUAGAAGUGACUGGAAUCAAUCUGAGAAAAGUCAUGCACAGACAGAAGACUUUUCAAGAUUUCAAAGACGAGAAAAGGAAGUUUGUAAGUGCAUAGAAACAUUUGUAAGUUCCUCAGAGCUGCUAAAGUGUUUAGAUGUUGUGUGUUCUUUGUAAAUUGCUAAUGUUCCUUGUGGAUAUAUUUACCAGGAUGUUUUUUUUUAUUUGUGUUUUUUUAAGCUGGUGAUGCUUUGGAACAUUCCAUGAGGUCCGCCGUCCAAGCUGACGGAUCCCCAGGACUGGGUUAGGGAGAUCCGAAAGAAGAGGCUCAUGUCCUUUCCCUGUGCCUAACAUCUUUCCCCUGUUUACUCAUUUGGCCAAUUUCCAUUCACUCCAUAGGUCUCAGAGAAGUCUUGUUUGACCUACAGCCUAGGCCAGACCUUUAGGUCUGCACUUUUUUGGGACUCUGUACUUCUCUGUCAUGUAACUCAUCACAAUUAAAAUGUAAACAACCAUUUAUGUGAGUGUUUGCAUUGUGUUCCUGUCCUUUUUCUCCACCAUUCCUUGUAAUACUUGGGUAACGGGAAAGUGUAGUUCACUGCGGGCACUCAA
rnacentral:lncRNA from 1 species